rnacentral:rRNA from 1 species
UACGGGAGGCAGCAGUGGGGAAUAUUGGACAAUGGGCGAAAGCCUGAUCCAGCCAUGCCGCAUGAGUGAAGAAGGCCUUCGGGUUUGUAAAGCUCUUUUAGUGAGAAAGAUAAUGACGGUACUCACAGAAGAAGUCCUGGCUAACUCCGUGCCAGCAGCCGCGGUAAUACGGAGAGGGCUAGCGUUAUUCGGAAUUAUUGGGCGUAAAGAGCGCGUAGGCUGAUUAGUAAGUUAAAAGUGAAAUCCCAAAGCUUAACUUUGGAAUUGCUUUUUAAAACUGCUAGUCUAGAGAUUUGAAAGAGGAUAGAGGAAUUCCUAGUGUAGAGGUGAAAUUCGUAAAUAUUAGGAGGAACACCAGUGGCGAAGGCGUCUAUCUGGCUCAAAUCUGACGCUGAGGCGCGAAGGCGUGGGGAGCAAACAGGGAUUAGAUACC